rnacentral:tRNA from 1 species
GGAGCGGUAGUUCAGUUGGUUAGAAUACCGGCCUGUCACGCCGGGGGUGGCCUGUCACGCCGGGGGUCGCGGGUUCGAGUCCCGUCCGCUCCGCCA